rnacentral:tmRNA from 1 species
GGGGGCGACAGGCUUCGACAGGGGCUUGUAUAGAUCUUUGAAUGCACGUCGGGCUUUUUGUAGGUGAGCUCGUUAAAAAAACUUGCAAAACACAAAUGCUAAUCAAGAAUUAGCUCUUGCUGCCUAAUUAACUUUAGCUACAGCAAUGUCUUACCGGAAGUUUGCCUAAUGCGACCGGAUAAGGCAUCACACAGUUUGGGCUCGGGCGCGUUCUCCACCUGCGGACACGCUUUAAAAAUAGAUCUGUUAGCUCGGGAUGAGGUCUUGUUCUUUCAUCUGCUCGGUCCGAGUGAAACAUAAGUGAAAGAACUAAACGUGUAGAUUUCAUCGGUCGCAACCUUUGGAUGCGGGUUCGAUUCCCGCCGCCUCCACCA